AUCAGAGACCUUUAUCAUCGGUUGGGAAUGGGAAGUCAGUUUCUUGCACAUUUUUGGCUCCCAAUGUCUUCCAUUGCUUGUUAACACCAACCACGCCACUUUGUUGUCGUCGGCGAGCGUGCACGCUGCAGAAGGAAUACGGGACAGCUGCCAUUCCUGGAGGCUGGAGGGUUCAUUGGACAGGACACCUGCACAGCCGUAUUGCUGGCGGCUACGGUAAAGGUGUCCACCCUACUUUGUGAAUUCAAGACCAUGUCAGGACCUGCAUCAUCCGAGUCUGAUUCAGAACACUCAGGAUCUCCUGUAUCUUCAAGUUUAGGUAGUAGGGCCAUGCUGAUUUCAUCAGAGUCUGAUGAUGACCGUCCUGUCUGCAAGAAGAAGUGCACCUCAGACAUAUCUUCUUGCAGACCUCGCACGUCAUCACGACAGACAGAAAGGGCUCACGGGAUGCUACACUGAGCCUUAUUGCUGAAAGUCUUCCGAGUAGUUUUGAAACACAACACAAGAUGGAGGAGGAUGUGAGUGUGAUCGAUCUUCUCAGGGUCUUGCUGCAGGAGGUGCGAGAUGUGAAGCAGGAGGUGAGAGUUGAAGAGCAAGCUCGAGAACUCAUCUGAAUGUACAGAGUCGAUUAUUGAAAACCCUUUUGAUGAACUGAAGUCUUUUGGCUUUAAAGCUACAUCACUGGAAGAAAGAACGAGAACAUGAUUUGCUAUUUCAUGUCCUGUGCCACUUGACUGAACAUCUGAUGUUGAUAACAGCAGAUUAUUGGGUGAAGUAGCAUGAUUUUGUAUCAUACUGCUUGAUAAACAUAGUGGUGGUGGUUCUUAAUAAGGCAUUAUUAUUAUAGUUUUGUUUAAGGAAGCGAUAUAGCACACCUAUCUUUUGAGCAUUCAGGUAAUUUCAGUUUUGGGCAGAUUGCUUUGACAUUUUCAGUGCUGAAAAGAUAGACCUGCAUACACGCUUCUGCAGUUUUUGGGUUUGCAUAACUUAUUGCUUUGUACAGGCAUGGCACAAUGGUAGCCCACUGUUGUCCCAUGUGUAAGUCCCACUCACAGCUUCAUGAAAAGGCUUUCAUUGCCACCAAUUGUUACAGAAAGUUGUAGCAGGAAGUGGGUGGUUUUGUUUGAGGCCUUUCUGCUGAUGCAGCCAUAGCAGAGGCUGUCUCAUGUCUCACAUGGUUGAAACUGGCCUUGGGCAAUUAAUUCAUCACAUAUUUUUGAUGGGUGUUACUUUGUUCACAUUGUCCUUUCACUCCUUUUGAGCCUUCAUACAUAUGUAUAAUAUUUACAUCAAUGUACUGAGUUGUAUAUGUAGUUAGACAUGCCUCUUACAAUAUUAACUUGCUUGGGUGACGUGCAUGAUGCUUUGUAUUUAGAUCAAUGAAUUUUUUCCUUGUAUAAUUCUGUUUGAAUGUCUGCAUGGUGAGGGUCAUAAUUUUAUUGACUGGAUGAUUACAAAUUAUUGUAACUAAUUGUAAAGUAUUUAUAUUCAAAUUUAGUGCCUAAAUUUGACAAAAAUGUUGAAACUGCAUGACUUUGAUGUUCAGUAUAAAGAAAAUAUUUAAAUGCAACACUCAACACAGUCAGUACCAUACCAUACCUACAUCCAUACCACUACCACCAUCUGCAUUCUUUAAUAUCCUCACCUCAAGUGCAUUUACAUGAAAUUAUUAAGUGCUACAGCACAGUACCCUAUUUUUUUAUUAGUUCAUAACAAUUAGCUUAAAGCCAAUUGCUCUAAGUGUUAACAUAAAAUUUUGAAGUGAUUAUUUUUUUGUGAUAUGGGUAUAUUAGUGCUUGGAGGUGGGAUACUUUGAGUUUGUGGUGUGUAUGUGUCUUAUUUGGUUAUGAUGUGGCAGACUUCUGAUCACUCUUAGGAUAUGUUCCCAUUUAAUUUUUAUCUGCUUCCGCAUAUCCCCUUUCACUUCUGCUGUAUAAUUUCCUCAAAUACUGCAAUAACCUGUCGUCCCAUUUAUGUGCUUUCUUCCUCUUAACACCUAGCUACCACGUCUUGUGCAAAUGCACCUUCCUAGUCAGUUAACUUAUUCUUUUCAUUUGAUCAUGUCAUCUCUGCGGCCUGUGUGUGACCCCUCGCCCAGCAACACUCUUUCAUUCCCUUUCUUAUAUCACCUUCUGCUCUUCCAUACUUGUGUAGGACUGAACCAAGGUAAUUCAAUCUCCUGUUCUCUUGUCACUUAUCUUAUUUAAAAAGUACAAUUUUACCAAGCAUCUCUGCAGUAGUAUGUAAUAGGCUUACAUUAACAGACUUAUUCAUAUAUCUGUAUUGCACAACUGUUCCUCAUGUACACAUAAAAUAAACAAUAAUGAACUAAGAAUUAUGUUUUUCAACAGUUUCUCGAACGGGAGAAGCAGUUCUCGGAAGGAUGUGAAAAUUCUAAGAAGAACAGGAACGACCUCCUUAAGAUCCUCAUUGAGUUAGCUCCCAAGCCUAAGAAGAAUGCUAAAGUAGCUGCUCUGGAUAUAGUUAGGUCGAUAAUGCAAAGAUUAGCUGAUGAUUCAGUAUGGCAAUAUGUUAGCGCUUUUGGGAAGUCAGGCACAAAAAAGUUGUCAAUGUGCAAAAUGAUGCCUUCAAUUAUGGAUACAGUACUCUUAACAACAAUAAAAACCCUUUCAGUUGAUACUAAAGAGGCAUCAACUGCUCUUUCAACAUAUUUAAAAAAUACUGCUACAAGGGCAGCAGCAAAGAAGCACAAAUUUGAACAUGGAAGAGCCAUACUUCAGAUUGGUAACAGUGUACAUGAGGAAACAUUCCAGUCUGCAAACUCUGUCCAAAGUUCAUGACAACAUGCAGCUGAUGAGGUUAGAGUCUGAUGCAGCACAUGAUUCAGAUUUGGCCUGAAACCAAAUUUGUGGCUAAAAUAAUUUUAUGCAUGUGUUCUUUAUUGAGUGUUAUAUAAGCACUGGUCUCCACUGUCAGUGUCAACUAAGUACAACACAUGCAAAAUAACACAAAACUUUCUUUUUGCUAGCAUCAUAAAUAAUUACAAAUGCCUGAUUCAUAUAAGGUAUAUAGAUAAAAGAGGUACCUUUGCAUAAUGGAUUUCCUUAUGGUAGAAUGUGAUGUAUAUGUGGAGAUAAUAAAACAAGAAGGAAACCAUGUUGUUUUCUUCAAAUGGCAGUAAUUCCUAUGAAGGCAUUUUUUAGAACUCGUGAUUCAUAUUAUUUGAGGUCCAUCCAAUGUUCAUUUAAGGUUCAUUAAAAGGCUUUUUAUGGUUCAUUUUUAGGUGUUUUUAAAGUUCAUAUAAAGAUUUUUGAGGUCCAUUCAAAGUUCAUUUAAGGUUCAUUAAAAGGCUUUUUAUGGUUCAUUUAUAGGCGUUUUAAAGUUCAUUUAAAGUUUUUUUGAGGUUUGUUAAAGGUUCAUUUAAGGUUCAUUCAAAGGCUUUUUAUGGUUCAUUUAUAGGUGUUUUAAAGUUCAUAUAAAGUUUUUUUGAGGCCCUUAAAAGUUCAUUUAAGGUUCAUGAAAAGUCUUUUUACAGCUCAUUUUUGGGUGCUUUUAAAGUUCACAUGAGGUUUGCGCAAACCGAAAAGUGUACACCAAAACGGGUACUUUUCAGGCUUGUUUGAGGUUCAACUGAAGCUCAUGUUGUGAAGUUUGCGCACCUUUUACAAACGUUUGCCAAACAUCCUAUGAACUUUAAAUUU